GCCGUCGUAGCUCAGUGGUGGAGCACCCGGCUGUUAACCGGGCGGUCGCCGGUUCAAAUCCGGCCGACGGCG
rnacentral:tRNA from 1 species